AGGUGGUGGCGAUGAUGAAGGGCUCUCGGUGAUGAGGAUGGGGAGCAGCCUGUCACUUUGAUUUACUCUCAAAUUAGAACACAGCAGAAUAGCGUGAAUGAGAGCAACACGAGACAACCACAUACACAUAUAUAGGCCUAUGUGUUGAAUAUAGAAGAUGCGUUUCUGUGUACAGCAUGUGGCCAAAAGUAUGUGGACACCUAAACAUUACACCCAUAUUUGAUUGUCGUUCCAAAACCAUAGAAAUUACAGGGUUUGUUUUGUUUUGUUUUUCUCAACUUACUCACAUUUCUAAAAAAAAAAAAAACAAAUCCAAAGUUACCAACUGCUUAACCACGUUUUCCUAAAACUGUGCACUCAUCCUACUCACGUUUUCCUUAUCGGAAUCGAGCUCUAAGGACAGACGGUGCCGUAUGUUGUACAGACUGUAAAGCCCCUUGAGGCAAAUUUGUGAAUUAAUGGACUAAUAAAUCAAAUUGACUUGACUUAGUAAACACACCUUCCAAAAACUUUGGACACUCUUACCCAAAAUCAGAUAUUACCAUUAUCUUCACACACACCCACACACACACACACACACACACACACACACACACACACUUACUAUAGGGGUAUACACCUCCCAUCUGAAACGUAAUUAGCAACACGUGCUGUGAACACAACAUUAAACCAUUUUAAACGCAACUGCCAGAAUUUGUGUUGGGAACUUUUUGGUUGACACAAACAUUUGUGUUUUGAAACUGAAAGAUGUCGAAGUUACAAAUGGAAGUAGAAUACGGUAAAAAAAAAAAAAAAAAAAAAAACAAUCCCUUACAGAGAGGUGAACAUCUGCAUGUCCCCUGCCUGACUGAUGAGCGAGGAUGGACACUGGAUACUUCAUGAGGCCACUGAUCAUUAAAACAACAACAACAACAUGUGUUUGCAUAGCUUCUGUUGUUGUGUGUGGGAGUGUUUGUGUACAUGUGUCCAUCCCCGGUCUUGCUCUGACAUUCUCCGCGGCUCAUCGGCAGUCAGCCCUGAAGAAUGACUUGGAAAUGGCCGUUGCAGCGUGCAGCUCGCCUGGGGUGACUCGCGGGCCGUUGCCAUGGCAGUGCAAGGUGACGACCGCAGAGAUCUCCCCAUGCAGCCGGUGAUGAGAAAGGAGUCUGCUUUGCCACCGCACCCAUACAGGGAGCUGAACAAGUUCCUGUCAGUGGGAAGCUCUCACUGUGAAUAACUUAAUCACAACCUGAAGGCAUCAGUGUCUGUGCACGACUUUUGCAAGAAAUUCUGGGCCUCUAUCAAGGAGUUGUCUUGUACUAUGCAAGCGAAGCAAGCGUGAACAGACAGGUGUGAAAUCAGCUUGUCAGGAGAGAGAAGACAAUCUCCAGCAAAUACAG